GAUAGUUCGCCGCCAUUUUUAUAUACACUUUUCCUUCCACGUGCAUUUACGUUCCUCGUUCACUUUUUUUCGAAAACUCAAAGGAAAUGUGAAAACUAUUGGAAGCCGUAACCAUUUGGUUAAAUUGAAUUUAAACGUGCCAUGUGCAUGUGAGACACCUCGGGACAACACGUGAGGUCUUUGAGACACCUCGGGACAACAUGUGAGGUCUUUGAGACACCUCGGGACAAUAUGUGAGGUCUUUGAGACACCUCGGUCCAUGAGCCCUCGGCUUAAACUUCUAAUAUUGGAGGCUAUGAUGUUACCGCGAUGUCAGCUUUCUUAUGGUUGAAAAAACUACAGAAAUUACCGGCCGGAUUGAGGUUAUGAGUGAUUCUCAUUACUUUGCCCACAUGGGCAUUUCUAAUACAGAAUAACUGAUGCAAUGGACAUUUAUAUAUCAAUAUCAAUUGAUUGGAUUUGUUAUAAUUAAAAGAAUGAACACCAGAGAGGGCAAUUCAAAUAAAUAUCUGGAUGUUUUUGUAUACACAUUAAAAUAAAUAAAAUAAUAAAAAUGCUUUAUAUAUACCUUAA